GGUUUGUGGCUCAGCGGUAGAGCGCUCCCCUGGCAUGUGUGAGGCACUGGGUUCAAUCCUCAGCACCA
rnacentral:tRNA from 1 species